rnacentral:rRNA from 1 species
GGAGCAAUCUUUGUUCUGCAUUUGGGAUGAGUCGUAGUUAAAUCUCACGACGAUUAUCGAUUGGAGGGCAAGUCUGGUGCCAGCAGCCGCGGUAAUUCCAGCUCCAAUAGCGUAUAUUAAAGUUGUUGCGGUUAAAAAGCUCGUAGUUGGAGUUCUGCCAGGUGACUUUCGUCCGCCCAAGUGGUGUGUACAGGGAGUGCAUCUGGCCCUUUCAAGGGGAACGUGUCUGCACUUCAUUGUGUGGUGCGAGAUCCUUGACUUUUACUUUGAGGAAAUAAGAGUGUUCCAAGCAGGCUCUCGUCGUGCAUAGCUCAGCAUGGAAUAAUAGCAUUGGACUUCGUUUCUACGCUGUUGGUUGCAAGAAGCGAGGUAAUGAUUAAUAGGGACAGUUGGGGGUAUUCGUAUUUCAUUGUCAGAGGUGAAAUUCUUGGAUUUCUGAAAGACGAACUACUGCGAAAGCAUUUACCAAGGAUGUUUUCAUUAAUCAAGAACGAAAGUUAGGGGAUCGAA